rnacentral:misc_RNA from 1 species
UUUCAGACGAUAGAUUCUUUUCAAAAAGUGGAUUUUUUUACUUUGACCUAAAUCACCCUUUUCACUGGUUCAAAUUUUCACAGGAUGUUCACGUUCAUGCACCCAAAGGUAUGGGCUAAAAUUGUCGAAUUACCAAAUUCUCUUUUUGAUCGGUUCUGUCUCAGGCUCUCGCAAUGUGUCAGUGUUUCAUGUGAAAUUUAAGAAGACAAAAAUUGUUUCUGAUUCUUUAAAGGUCCCUGCAGUGAGCUACAGGGAAGGGUCAAUGAUAUGUUUUGAGCGAUAACACAUUGAAGGAUAGCUUGGGAAAAGACGAGACUUUCUUUAACACACAAUUCAUGGCCGCAGCUACAGGGAAGGGUCAAUGAUCAAAUGGUAAGUAUUGUUUCUGCAUUUGCUUCAAGUUCCUUAUAGGUGGGUUUUUGGAAUGCAUAAAGUUAGGUGAUCUUUUGCUUUGGACAAGACUUUAGAGCAUGGUUAUAGGUGAUACUCAUAUAGUAUCAUUAUUUAUAAUAUGUGGCUAAACAUUAGUUAGAUAUCGGAUUGCAAUUUUUGUUAGCUAGUUCUCAUAUAUCCAACGAUUUCAAGUUAUAUGCGACUGAUAUAAAGAACCAUUGGUUCAAUAGAUGCAUGAGGUUAUUAUACAUUGGUCCUUGGAGAAUGGGGACUAAACGAAUGCAACAUAAACUUGAAUCUGACUCACAAAUUCACAAUAUUUAUGCAUUGACAUAACAUAG